rnacentral:rRNA from 1 species
AAUAGGCUAAUUAAGAGCGUAAGGGGAAUGCCUUGGCUCUCAGAGGCGAUGAAGGA